rnacentral:rRNA from 1 species
AUGUUCAUAACUUGUCCAAUUUCAGUCCUUAAUUUCAUACACACAUUUGUGCCCUUGAACAUAAAGUGCAGUGAAAAAGAAUCUACCUCUGCGAGGAACUCCUUGACUGGAAGAAUGCGACCGCAACUUCACUGCUACCUGGGUGCCGUCCUCCAAGAAGCCGUCGUAGAUGUACCCGAACCCUCCCCGACCAAGCACUCGCUGGAAGUUGUUUGUUAUCAUCUGAAGCUCCUUGUAUGUGAACCGGCAGUUCUCGAGUCGCAACGAGCCAUCCACAGACACCGUUUACCAUUGCAUAGCUCGUCGUCAUCUCAUUUUGGGGUUUCACGGAGUUGCUCACUGAUCCUUCAUAGAAAAAAGAUGGCACAUCUAACGUCAACUAUGUUCUCUCAUGUGAAAAAAGGUCAGAGAAUUGUCGUGCUCAUGCCAAAGCCUCACCUGGCCUUUUUCGUCUUACAAAACAAAAAAGUAGUACCACCAAUAGUAUCACGAGAAUCACAGCCACAGGAACUGCAAUGUAAAUGGCCAACAUGUUGCUCCUUGUAG